rnacentral:rRNA from 1 species
GAUGAACGCUAGCGGCAGGCCUAAUACAUGCAAGUCGUACGGCAGCACAGUUGCGAGCAAUCGCAACCGGUGGCGAGUGGCGCACGGGUGAGUAACGCGUAUGUAACCUACCCUUCUCCAGGACAUAACUCCGCGAAAGCGGUGCUAAUAUCCCAUAUCAACACUUGAAGACAUCUUCUUGUGUUGAAAGUAGCAAUGCGGUGAAGGAUGGGCAUGCGUCCCAUUAGCUGGUUGGUGAGGUAAUGGCCCACCAAGGCUACGAUGGGUAGGGGUUCUGAGAGGAAAGUCCCCCACACUGGUACUGAGACACGGACCAGACUCCUACGGGAGGCAGCAGUAAGGAAUAUUGGGCAAUGGUCGAAAGACUGACCCAGCCAUGCCGCGUGCAGGAUGAAGGCCCUAUGGGUUGUAAACUGCUUUUAGCCGGGAAUAAUUACCCGUUCUCUAACGGGCUUGAAGGUACCGGCUGAAUAAGCAUCGGCUAACUCCGUGCC